rnacentral:rRNA from 1 species
UAGUCCACGCCGUAAACGAUGAGCACUAGAUAGUUGUCCAUUUAAGGAUUUGGUGGCGCAGCUAACGCGAUAAGUUGACCGCCUGGGGAGUACGCCGGCAACGGUAGAACUCAAAGGAAUUGACGGGGGCCCGCACAAGCGGUGGAGCAUGUGGUUUAAUUCGAUGCGACGCGAAGAACCUUACCAUCCCUCGACAUCCUCAGAAUGAUCUGUAAUCGAUCAGUGCCUUCGGGAACUGAGUGACAGGUGCUGCACGGCUGUCGUCAGCUCGUGUCGUGAGAUGCUGGGUUAAGUCCCGCAACGAGCGCAACCCCUAUCUAUAGUUGCCAGCACGUAAUGGUGGGAACUCUAUAGAGACUGCCGGUGAUAAGCCGGAGGAAGGUGGGGACGACGUCGAGUCAUCAUGGCCCUUACGGGAUGGGCUACACACGUGCUACAAUGGUGCAUACAGAGGGUCGCCAACCAGCGAUGGGGGAGCGUAAU